GGCUGGGCUGGGAGCCUCAUCAGCCAGCUGUGCCAGCUGUGCCAGCUGUGCCAGCCCGGGAUUCGCCCUCCAGCACAGCUGCUGCUCCGGGCUGUGCUGGCUGCCCGUGGAUGGGGGAUUGAGCAAUCCCAGCGUGGGAAGCUCCUUCCAUCCAGCCCUGCCCUCUCUCCACACGCUGCUGCUGCUGCCUCUCGUUCCUCUGGCAGAAUUUUCACAUUCUCGUCCCCUCUCUCCUCCCCUGGGCUGUGGCAGCUCCUUCCCAUCACUUCCCCUCUUCUCCUCCUGCCUCUGGGCUGGGAGGGCUCCCAGAGCCUUUGAGGAGACGCUGCUGUGAAAGCCAAAGGGGAGCUGGGAGCUCCAGGAGCUGCUGCUGCUGCCAGAGGACAGGGACAAGGUGCGGUUUCCUCGGCUCGGCCCCGGGAUGCAGCCCGCGGCUCUGCAGAGCCUGUCCGAGCUGGAGAGAGCCGGUCUGCAGGAGCUGGCGCUGUUCCGGCUGCAGGAGAGGCUGCCCGGGGCACAGCUGAGCCUGGACAGAGAUGGCUCCAGAGGCAUCAAAUCCAUCCGGCAGAAGCUGGAGAGCUUCUCCAAGGACAGGAAAGUUGAGGGGCCUCCCUCUUACCUGGCUGUGCUCCCUGCUCUCGGGGGGAAUGGGGGAGUUCUGGGGGGGUGGGAGGUGCCCCAGGUGGUUCUGCUGUUCUUGGGGUGGCAGGAGCUUGGUGGAGCUGGGAAGGCACAGGAAUUGUGGGAUGUGUGUGAUGGGAAAUGCACUCUCCAGGGAACACCCAGAAAUGUCUCUGUCUGCCCAUCUUGCCCCUGUUUUGCUGCCUCCAAUUUCAGAAUCCCAGAAUCCCAGAGCAGAGCCAGGUGGGAAUGAACUUCCCCACACCAGUGCAAAGCCCACUCAAGGAAACUUCUGAAAUUAAUGCCUCAUAUUUCACCAAAAAGGAUUUGUGCUCUGCCACCCCAGGGCAGUGCAAAGGCUGGGGGUGAGGAGAGAGAGGGAUGGAGAGGGACAAUUUAUUUGGGAAAAAUACCACAAAUAGCAGGACUUUUCUUGAGCAGGCAGAGCUGAGGCAAGAGAAAACUGGAGGCUAGAACUUGGGAAGGAUUUUUUUUUGGUGAUUUAUGAAGUUGUUUGGGAUUUUCAUGGGGCUGUAGGCAGUCAGAGGAGUUAGCACUGAGAGAUAAAAAAACCAAUGGGAUGGAUUCCACUGACUGAUGAAUGGGGAAAAAAAAGAGAUUUGCCUUUCCAAACAAGCUGUGGGUUUGCUGAUAAAUGAAAUUGGAUAUUGGAAGAUGAAAGAAGCAACAGGGAAAAACUAUGAAUUCUGUAAGAAUUAAAAAUGAAAAGGGGGGGUUGUACAUUAGAGGGGAAUCUCAGGUGUCAGGUGUUUGGGCAGUCUGUGCCUCUCAAGUACCUCAGCAAUGGGGAAAGGGAGAGGGAAAUGUGGAUGGGAAAUUGGGAUAAAAAGGGAGGUGAAUCCUCCAAAAAUCUGAGAGAUCCCGUGGCCUCUCCCUUCACCGGAAUAAAGCAAAAAGGACUUUUCUGCCUCCUUUUUCGGACAUCAACCCCUGCUGCUGUGGGUUCAUUUUCCCCACAGCCCGGUGCUGUGCCCCCCCGGAGCGCUCCCCCCACACCCCCCCCCCCCCCCCCCCCCCCCCCCCCCCCCCCCCCCCCCCCCCCCCCCCCCCCCCCCCCCCCCCCCCCCCCCCCCCCCCCCCCCCCCCCCCCCCCCCCCCCCCCCCCC
ensembl:lncRNA